AUUGAACGCUGGCGGCAGGCCUAACACAUGCAAGUCGAACGGAUGAAGGGAGCUUGCUCCUGGAUUCAGCGGCGGACGAGUGAGUAAUGCCUAGGAAUCUGCCUGGUAGUGGGGGAUAACGUCCGGAAACGGGCGCUAAUACCGCAUACGUCCUGAGGGAGAAAGUGGGGGAUCUUCGGACCUCACGCUAUCAGAUGAGCCUAGGUCGGAUUAGCUAGUUGGUGGGGUAAAGGCCUACCAAGGCGACGAUCCGUAACUGGUCUGAGAGGAUGAUCAGUCACACUGGAACUGAGACACGGUCCAGACUCCUACGGGAGGCAGCAGUGGGGAAUAUUGGACAAUGGGCGAAAGCCUGAUCCAGCCAUGCCGCGUGUGUGAAGAAGGUCUUCGGAUUGUAAAGCACUUUAAGUUGGGAGGAAGGGCAGUAAGUUAAUACCUUGCUGUUUUGACGUUACCAACAGAAUAAGCACCGGCUAACUUCGUG
rnacentral:rRNA from 1 species